UACGUAGGGGGGCUAGCGUUGUCCGGAAUCAUUGGGCGUAAAGAGCGUGUAGGCGGCCAGGUAGGUCGGUUGUGAAAACUGGAGGCUCAACCUUCAGAGGUCGACCGAAACCAUCUGGCUAGAGUCCGGGAGAGGAGAGUGGAAUUCCUGGUGUAGCGGUGAAAUGCGCAGAUAUCAGGAAGAACACUCGUGGCGAAAGCGGCUCUCUGGAACGGUACUGAGCUGAGACGCGAAAGCCAGGGGAGCGAACGGG
rnacentral:rRNA from 1 species